rnacentral:misc_RNA from 1 species
GAAAUGCGAUAAGUAAUGUGAAUUGCAGAAUUCCGUGAAUCAUCGAAUCUUUGAACGCACAUUGCGCCCUCUGGUAUUCCGGGGGCAUGCCUGUCCGAGCGUCAUUGCGAACCCCUCAAGCACGGCUUGUGUGAUGGGCCCUCCCGCGUCUUGGUCGUCAAGACGGGCCCGAAAUGCAGUGGUGGCUUCGCGGUUAUCCGAUCAGCCAGAGCGUAUGGGGACUCUCUCUCUUGUCACACGCCCGCGGCGCGGACCGACGCCUGUCGACCUUUAUUCAUCUUCUCUCGGUUGACCUCGGAUCAGGUAGGGAUACCCGCUGAACUUAAGC